CAGCCGCCACGGGAAUACGAAGGGGGCUAGCGUUGUUCGGAAUUAUUGGGCGUAAAGGGUGCGUAGGCGGCUUGACAAGUCUUGUGUGAAAUCUAUGGGCUCAACCCAUAGUCUGCACGGGAAACUGUCGGGCUUGAGAAUGGGAGAGGUGAGUGGAAUUUCCGGUGUAGCGGUGAAAUGCGUAGAUAUCGGAAGGAACACCUGUGGCGAAAGCGGCUCACUGGACCAUUUCUGACGCUGACGCACGAAAGCUAGGGGAGCAAACAGGAUUAGAUACCCCCGUAGUCCCUGUCUCUUAUAC
rnacentral:rRNA from 1 species